rnacentral:rRNA from 1 species
GAUGAACGCUGGCGGCGUGCUUAACACAUGCAAGUCGAACGGAAAGGCCCAAGCUUGCUUGGGUACUCGAGUGGCGAACGGGUGAGUAACACGUGGGUGAUCUGCCCUGCACUUCGGGAUAAGCCUGGGAAACUGGGUCUAAUACCGGAUAGGACCACAUUUUGGAUGGUGUGGUGGAAAGUUUUUCGGUGUGGGAUGAGCUCGCGGCCUAUCAGCUUGUUGGUGGGGUAAUGGCCUACCAAGGCGUCGACGGGUAGCCGGCCUGAGAGGGUGUACGGCCACAUUGGGACUGAGAUACGGCCCAGACUCCUACGGGAGGCAGCAGUGGGGAAUAUUGCACAAUGGGCGCAAGACUGAUGCAGCGACGCCGCGUGGGGGAUGACGGCCUUCGGGUUGUAAACUCCUUUCGCUAGGGACGAAGCGUUUUUGUGACGGUACCUGGAGAAGAAGCACCGGCUAACUACGUG